rnacentral:misc_RNA from 1 species
GUGAAUCAUCAAAUCUUUGAACGCAAAUUGCACUCUCUUCGGAGAGUAUGCCUGUUUGAGGGUCAGCCUAAAAAAAAAAAUCGACAUAGUCGCUGUUUCUCGGUGACAUUCGUCGGAAAUUUGGUCAUCUUAAAACUUUGGGUUUUAAGUGGCCUAAAAUUUUUUUUACGAUUCCCCGAACGUUUCUAAGAUUUACUUUUUACACGUUUAAGGUAAUCGAUCUUUAUUAGAGUUGGCCUGAGCAACGGAU